GCUCCUGUUGCUUAAUGGAUAAGGCACUGGCCUCCGGAGUCAAAGAUUGUGGAUUAGGUUGCCAUCAAGGGUG
rnacentral:tRNA from 1 species